rnacentral:rRNA from 1 species
CUGUGGCGGACCCAGAUCACGCCGCAGCUGCGGGGCGCCGGCGUCUUCCACUACGUCGACGGCACGGCGACUGAGCCGGCCAAGGUCCUCACCAGCAAGGACGCCGCCGGCAAGGAGACCACUGGGCCGAAUCCCCUUCAUCCACUUUGGGUGAGGGAGGACCAGCAGGUCCUCGGAUACCUGCUCCGAAACCUCUCCAAGGAGGUGCUCGUCACGGUGACCGCGAUCACCACGGCGCGCGAACUCUGGGUGGCACUGGUGAGCAUGUUCUCGUCACAGUCACUCAGCCGCGUCAACAACAUCCGUACAUCGCUGAUCAAUGCGCAGAAGGGCAAUCAAUCGGUGGCCACCUACUUCGCCGCCAUGAGGGGCCUCGCCGAUGAGCUCGCCGCGGCGGGCAAACCCAUCCAGGACGACGAGCUCAUGUCCUACAUCAUCCACGGGCUAGACCAGGACUACCAGCCCCUUGUCUCUGCCUUGGACGCCCGCGUCACCCCGGUAACACUUGAUGAACUUUUUGCCAUGCUUAGCAAUUUUGAUCAGCGCAUGGCGCAGUACCACGGCUCCGGCGGCGGCUUCAAGUCGUCAGCAAACUCCGUCUCCAGAGGCCGCGGUGGUGGCUCUCGCUCUCGUGCCUCCUCUCGUGGCAAGGGGAGGUUCGGAUCUGGCGGCGGUGGCGGCUACUCCAACAACGCUCGUGGCGGCGGGCGCUCCAGCAGCUCAAAAGGGCGUCGUGGCGGCGGCUCCUACAGAUCUCGCCCGGACUUACCUCGCUGCCAAAUUUGUGGCAAGCCUGGUCACACGGUGAAGGAC